CCCCCGAGGCUCGGGUCCGCGGUCGGAACUGCAGAGGGUAAUUGGAACAGGAUGUUAAUAAACCUGCGAGCGGCCAACUGAAUCCUGGAAAAGCAACCACAGGGAAAACCCACACCACGUGUAACACGCCAGAGACAAUUCAGAAACACGAAGUAUAUUUUGCGGGAAGGGUUGCAGUCCUUGAAGUCUAGAAAUAGAUGU
rfam:Equus caballus chromosome 4, whole genome shotgun sequence.